rnacentral:lncRNA from 1 species
UUAAAUUAUUUUUAAACUUUGUUCAAGAGAAUAAAAUUUGAUGAUUUGAUUAAAAUUUACGGAAUGAGUCAAGUACGUUAGGUACUUGAAUUAUUUUGCCCAUCACUUUGACUUAUAAAACUUAAUAAAUUCGUUAAAUUGAAUUUCCCCCGGCAAAGGAUGCAACAGCCAAUACUAUUACAGAACAAAUGAACCAAUCACGAUGGAGUUUUUUUAUCAUGAGAACUGAACAUUAUGAUAGCAAACUUUUAUCACUAGGGUCUAUCAUGUAGCAAACAAGUUUUUCCCUCUUAUUUUUACUUUUUUCUUGUUUUUGUGUACAAAUAUGAUUCUACAUAGGGGUAGAACUCUGCGGGAAAAGUCCUAAUAUGAUAGAGAUUUUAGAUUUCUAUUGAUACCAAUUUUCUCAGUGUCUAUUUCCUUAGUACAAUGUUACAUACUCUCUUGUAUGGAACCAGAAUUUCAUAAAGUAGAUUAUGAAAAUAGUAAGUUCCCCUCGAGGUAAGGAACUUACUUUCCGGAGUAAUUCCUAUCCUGAGGGUUCAAUCAUCGUUAGCGAUGAAACCGACAAGCUUCCAUCCAACCUCCAUGUGUCCUACUGGACAUCUUGGCGAUACUCAUUUCCAUCUCUAGUCACAUAAUUGAUGUCCUCCGAGACAUGAAUCUAGCCUACCGAUAUUAUCUAAGUGGUAAAAAUGUGUAUGUCAUACUUACUAUCAUCUUUAUCUCAUUUCCUGCGUUUGUCAACACUGCAGUCAGUAUACGGAUGUACAUGCUCGAUGAAUUUGAGACAUCUGCUACCAUGCGAAGAUUGAUCAGAACCUACAAGAUCUCAUGGAUAUUUAUUUAGCAUUUCAACUCGCGCCAGUCAUAAGGUAAAAUAGUUUCUCCAUUUCCUCUGAGCUUUUUUUUUUCAUAACGCAAUGCUUAAAUACUAUUUUUAACCGUUUUUACAUAUUUAAAUGCCUCAUUUCUAGAUUUUUAAUCAACUUAGCAAGUAGAAAGAAUUCAGGACUAUCUAAUUUUGUAAAAUCUGGAAUCAUGAUGAUAUUGGCUGUAACGCAAAAUUUGUUAUCCUUUUAGCCUCAUCAACACAUUCUAAUGUAGAGUUUUCACUCGAUUUUUCACCAAAUGGAAGGAAUCAACUGCUGAUUCCGUCUUUUUUUCAAUGUUGUCAACACAGUGUACCAUCUUUUUUCUCAUCCUUUCUGCAGGUAUAUUGAUUCGCUUAGUUACGCUUUAAAGUCCCGCAAAGCAGAGAAAAGGAAAGGAUUUUGCAAGUCAGCGGAAGUACUACGAGUUGAUGCUGAAAGAGGACUCUGAUGUAGCUCUCCUGCGAGUAUUGGAGUGUUUUUUGGAGGCAGCACCACAACAAAUUCUUCAGGUUGCCAUCGUUUUAGUUGAGAAGAAAAAAAGGCUCUACUUUUCAGAGUGAGUUAUCCUUAUAAUACUUGUUGAAUGUUAGAAUCCAAUAAAAGGGUCUUUUAAAAAAGAUUGUUUCUCUCUUGUAGUUUUUUGAUCAGUUGAAGAUGAAGGUUGUCGUUGGUCUCAUCACACAGAAAAAAAGACUGUCUAUUAUUUUAAGCUUCAAAGCUAACAAAUAUUUGUUUCGUGAGAGGAAAAAUGCACCAUCUAUGUGAUGAUCGCAAAGAAAAUGGUCAAGAAGUGAGAAGUAGGAGUGAGGAGUACAGUGCAGAAAGUGUGAUGGAGUAGGAUGCCAUGAAAUAAGCAGGAGACAGAAAAUGUAAACGCUAAUCAAAGACCAGGUGGACCACACUGUUGCCACUUAGUGUCAUAAUGGUCAUAAUCCUGAGCCCAUGAGGUGCCUGUUUGCUGUCCCAGAGAGUGACCCGGCAAUUGCAGAAAUUGAACUUAGAUUGAUCUCCCUUUUAUUAUUAGAGCAUGUUCUCGCAGUUGUUUGUGUUCUUUACCAUCCCCUUUUUUGGAUAUUCUCAUAAUUAAGGAUAAAUAUACAUCAGUUUGAAAUCAUCGAUUGACUUCAAAAGGAAGGAAAAACUGAGGAACUUGCUAGACGGCAUAUGUCUCCUCACUCCUUUUUUUCUUUUUCUGUAUAUAGACGCUAUUAGUGCCACGUCACAGAAAAGCGAUAUAUAUCGAUUUUUCGCAUUGGUAGCAUUGAAAGAGGUUAUGCCAAUGUUUUGUUUGGAUCCAAUUCGAUAUAAUGGAGAAUCCCUAUGAUGACGUCGCCACUAAUAGCGUCUAUUGGAAGCAUAUCAUCAAUCUACAAUCAUCAAAAUAAUGAGCCAUUGUUAAGCACAGAAUGAUGAGGAGGAAGGGAUAAGAGACCAAAAACCAAUCAAUUGCAGAAAUGCAUAGAAAAUAAAAUACUUACAGGUCCAUUCCUCCCAUGAAACAUGAACAUAGUUUCUAACAGUCAGCCAUUGUAAGUGCCCGCAUAAAAUAUUUUCCCUGUGUCAAACAACUG